GUGCUCGCUUCGGCAGCACAUAUACUAAAACUGGAAUGAUACAGAGAAGAUUAGCAUGGCCCCUGCGCAAGAAUGACACGCAAAUUCAUGAAGCGUUCCAUUUUUUU
rnacentral:snRNA from 1 species